rnacentral:lncRNA from 1 species
GAAGAUGUACAUGCUGCAGCAGCUAUAAAAGGACAUACGUUUACCCCACACGCCACAUUUUCUGAUCCGAGAGAAAGACACGCAUCAUGAGAGGAUUCCUGCUUGUUGGGCUGCUGGUGGUCCUGGCCGUGGUGGUCAGCGAGGGGGUGGUGCUGACCAAAUGCCAAGUGAGGACCAGUCUGCAGAAUGCCAUACUGAAGCUGCCUAAAGAAGAGCAGCACAAGCUGAACUACAACGACUUCACGGCUGAGACUGUCUGUCAUGCUGAGUACACCUCUGGCUUAAACACCAGUGCUGUGAUUGAGGUAACGGUGCAAGAGGAAGUGAUCAUCGUAGGCCGCAGGAAGCGUUCUUCUGAGAGAGGGGAUUCCAAAGGCACGCCACGACAGAGCUCCAGCUCUUCUGAGGUCGUCCAUGGCAGUAACACCACCGGCAGCGAACACAACCAUCCCAAACCAGGACCACCUGGGAAUUUGACCGGAGGACAGCGUGUGAGGCGGUCGGUGGUGAAUGGGACCUCGCAGGGGAACAGCAGCGAGGAAACGGCAAAUGUCAUCACCUUCUAUGGGAUCUUUGAGCUCAGCGAUCGCGUUGCGUGCAGCUCUGGCUUUGCACCUUCACUGAACCUCUGCAACACAAACUGCAAUGCAUUUACCAAUGAUGACAUCACUGAUGACGCUGCAUGUAUUGUGAAGCUCGGAACCCUGACUUUUCCUGGAUCUAAACACCUCAAGAGAAAACUGGAGCUGAAGCAGUGCAAGAACGUGGAGAACGGCGGCUUCUUCAGAGGCUGCAAAUGAGCGGCUCCCCGUCGCCCCCUGGCGGCCGCCCUCCGCGCUACUUCAACAGGAGCGGCCCCACCCACGCCCUCUCUCUUCUCUAGUUGAAAUAAAGAGUUUCUUUGCAAAUGAACGUCCUCCUUU